GUGUAGCUUAGUGGUAGAGCUCUUGCCUAGCAUGCAGAAGGCCCUGGGUUUAGUUCCCAGUAC
rnacentral:tRNA from 1 species